GCGGCACGCUUCAUACAUGCAAGUCGAGGGGCAGCAUAAAGUACUUGUACUUUGAUGGCGACCGGCGAACGGGUGCGUAACGCGUAUGCAACUUACCUUUUACUAGAGAAUAGCCAAGAGAAAUUUUGAUUAAUGCUCUAUACACUUAUUAAUUCUCAUGAAUCUAUAAGAAAAGCUCCGGCGGUAAAAGAUGGGCAUGCGUCCUAUUAGCUUGUAGGUGAGGUAACGGCUCACCUAAGCUCCGAUAGGUAGGGGUCCUGAGAGGGAGAUCCCCCACACUGGUACUGAGACACGGACCAGACUUCUACGGAAGGCAGCAGUAAGGAAUAUUGGACAAUGGAGGCAACUCUGAUCCAGCGAUGCCGCGUGAAGGAAGACGGCCCUAUGGGUUGUAAACUUCUUUUAUACAGGAAGAAACCUUUCCACGUGUGGAAAGCUGACGGUACUGUAAGAAUAAGGAUCGGCUAACUCCGUGCCAGCAGCCGCGGUAAUACGGAGGAUCCAAGCGUUAUCCGGAAUUAUUGGGUUUAAAGGGUCCGCAGGCUGUUUGUUAAGUCAGGGGUGAAAUCCUACCGCUCAACGGUAGAACUGCCUUUGAUACUGGCAAACUUGAGUUAUUGUGAAGUAGUUAGAAUGUGUAGUGUAGCGGUGAAAUGCAUAGAUAUUACACAGAAUACCGAUUGCGAAAGCAGAUUACUAACAAUAUACUGACGCUGAGGGACGAAAGCGUGGGUAGCGAACAGGAUUAGAUACCCUGGUAGUCCACGCCGUAAACGAUGGUCACUAGCUGUUCGAUGUACAUUGGUACAUUGAGUGGCUAAGCGAAAGUGAUAAGUGACCCACCUGGGGAGUACGCUC
rnacentral:rRNA from 1 species